UUGGGACCCACCCGAGAGUGGGUCACCAUGGCUUUGGAGCACCUAGUAGCGUGUCCACCUUGAAGACCAGAGUUUCGAUGACCUUAAGACUGACCUGGGGAGACGUGACUGCAGGCCAUUGAGGAAGAUGGCACCAAAAGUGAAGAAGGAAGCUCCUACCCCUCCUAAAGCCAAAGCCGAAGCGAAGGCUUUAAAGGCCAAGAAGGCAGUGUUGAAAGGUGUCCACAGCAACACACAGAAAAGAAGAUCCGCAUGUCACUCACCUUGAGGUGGCCCAAGACACUGCGACUCCGGAGGCAGCCCAAAUAUCCUCGGAAGAGCACCCCCAGGAGAAACAAGCUUGACCACUACGCUAGCAUCAAGUUUCUGCUGACCACUGAGUCGGCCAUGAAGAAGAUAGAAGAAAACAACAUGCUUGUGUUCAUUGUGGAUGUUAAAGCCAACAAGCACCAGAUCAAACAGGCUGUGAAGAAGCUCUGGGACAUGGAUGUGGCCACAGUCAACAUCCUGAUUUGACCUGAUAAAGAGAAGAA